UUUUGGACAAUGGGGGCAACCCUGAUCCAGCAAUGCCGCGUGAGUGAAGAAGGCCUUCGGGUUGUAAAGCUCUUUUGUCAGGGAACAAACACCGGCUCUAACACAGUCCGGGAAUGACGGUACCUGAAGAAUAAGCACCGGCUAACUACGUGCCAGCAGCCGCGGUAAUACGUAGGGUGCGAGCGUUAAUCGGAAUUACUGGGCGUAAAGCGUGCGCAGGCGGUUAUACAAGACAGGCGUGAAAUCCCCGGGCUUAACCUGGGAGUGGCGCCUGUGACUGUAUAGCUAGAGUGUGUCAGAGGGGGGUAGAAUUCCACGUGUAGCAGUGAAAUGCGUAGAUAUGUGGAGGAAUACCAAUGGCGAAGGCAGCCCCCUGGGAUAACACUGACGCUCAUGCACGAG
rnacentral:rRNA from 1 species